CGUUGUUCGGCUUUACUGGGCGUAAAGCGCACGUAGGCGGAUUGUUAAGUCAGGGGUGAAAUCCUGGAGCUCAACUCCAGAACUGCCUUUGAUACUGGCAAUCUUGAGUCCGGAAGAGGUGAGUGGAACUCCUAGUGUAGAGGUGGAAUUCGUAGAUAUUAGGAAGAACACCAGUGGCGAAGGCGGCUCACUGGUCCGGUACUGACGCUGAGGUGCGAAAGCGUGGGGAGCAAACAGG
rnacentral:rRNA from 1 species